rnacentral:misc_RNA from 1 species
GAUGAAGAACGCAGCGAAAUGCGAUAAGUAAUGUGAAUUGCAGAAUUCAGUGAAUCAUCGAAUCUUUGAACGCACAUUGCGCCCGCCAGUAUUCUGGCGGGCAUGCCUGUCUGAGCGUCAUUUCAACCCUCAUGUCCCUAGGGCGUGGUGUUGGGGAUCGGCCAAAGCCCGCGAGGGACGGCCGGCCCCUAAAUCUAGUGGCGGACCCGUCGUGGCCUCCUCUGCGAAGUAGUGAUAUUCCGCAUCGGAGAGCGACGAGCCCCUGCCGUUAAACCCCCAACUUUCCAAGGUUGACCUCAGAUCAGGUAGGAAUACCCGCUGAACUUAAGCAUAUCAAUAAGCGGAGGA